GACGAACGCUGGCGGCGUGCCUAAUACAUGCAAGUAGAACGAGUUGCGAACGGGUGAGUAACGCGUAGGAACCUGCCUCAUAGCGGGGGAAAACUAUUGGAAACGAUAGCUAAUAACGCAUACUGUGAGAUGGACCUGCGUUGUAUUAGCUAGUUGGUGGGGAAAAGGCCUACAAAGGCGACGAUCCGUAACUGGUCUGAGAGGAUGUUCAGUCACACUGGAACGGUGACACGGUCCAGCCUCCUACGGUAGGAAGCAGUGUGGAAGUUUGGACAAUGGCCGAAAGCAUGAUCCAGCAAUGCCGCGUGUGUGAAGAAGGUCUUCGGAGUGUAAAGCCCUUUAAGUUGAGAGGCGGUACCGACAUAGUAAGCACCGGCUAACUACGUGCCAGCAGCCGCGGUAAUUC
rnacentral:rRNA from 1 species